rnacentral:sRNA from 1 species
GCUGGAUGCGGUGGUGCACACCUGUAAUCCCAGCAAUUUGGGAGGCUGAGGCAGGAGGAUUGAAAGUUUGAGGCUAGUCUCAGCAAUUUAGGGAGGCCCUAAGUGACUUAGAACUUGUCUCAA